rnacentral:rRNA from 1 species
AACGAACGCUGGCGGCAGGCCUCAAACAUGCAAGUCUAGGGGGGUGCAGCAAUGCAUCACCGGCGGACGGGUGCGUAACGCGUGGGAAUAUACCUUUUGGUUCGGAACAACUGCGGGAAACUGCAGCUAAUACCGAAUGUGCCCUAACGGGGAAAGAUUUAUCGCCAAAGGAUUAGCCCGCGUAGGAUUAGCUAGUUGGUGAGGUAAUGGCUCACCAA